rnacentral:misc_RNA from 1 species
GAUGAAGAACGUAGCGAAAUGCGAUAAGUAAUGCGAAUUGCAGAAUUCAGUGAGUCAUCGAAUCUUUGAACGCACAUUGCGCCAUGUGGUAUUCCGCAGGGCAUGCCUGUUCGAGCGUCAUUUCAACCCUCAAGCUCUGCUUGGUGUUGGGCCACGCCCCCGCGGCCGGCCCCAAAGCUAGUGGCGGUGCCGUCUGGCUCUAAGCGUAGUACAUCUCUCGCUCUAGGGCCCGGCGGUUGCUUGCCAGAACCCACACUCUUAUGGUUGACCUCGGAUCAGGUAGGGAUACCCGCUGAACUUAAGCAUAUCAAUAGCGGAGGA